rnacentral:tRNA from 1 species
AGGAUUAUAGUUUAAAAAACAUCUAAAUUGCAAUUAGAAGAUAUAAUUGUUAUUAAUCUGA